rnacentral:rRNA from 1 species
ACUUCCCUCUUUCUUCAUGCCUUACACAUGCAAGUCGAACGGCAGCAUGACCUAGCUUGCUAGGUUGAUGGCGAGUGGCGAACGGGUGAGUAAUGCAUCGGAACGUGCCUUUUAGUGGGGGAUAACGUAGCGAAAGUUACGCUAAUACCGCAUAUUCUCUGAGGAGGAAAGCAGGGGACCUUCGGGCCUUGCGCUAGAAGAGCGGCCGAUGUCGGAUUAGCUAGUUGGUGAGGUAAAGGCUCACCAAGGCAACGAUCCGUAGCGGGUCUGAGAGGAUGAUCCGCCACACUGGGACUGAGACAAGGCCCAGACUCCUACGGGAGGCAGCAGUGGGGAAUUUUGGACAAUGGGCGCAAGCCUGAUCCAGCCAUGCCGCGUGAGUGAAGAAGGCCUUCGGGUUGUAAAGCUCUUUCGGCUGGGAAGAAAUCGCACCCUCUAAUACAGGGUGUGGAUGACGGUACCAGCAUAAGAAGCACCGGCUAACUACGUG